GACGAACGCCGGCGGCGUGCUUAACACAUGCAUGUCGAACGGAAAGGUCCUGCUUUAGUUGGGUGCUCGAUUGGCUAACGGGUGAGUAACUCUUGAGUAACCUUCCCUUGACUUUGGGAUAACGUCAGGAAACUGGGGCUAAUACCGGAUAGUUGCUCCUGCUGCAUGGUGGGGUUUGGAAAGUGUCGGCGGUUUGGGAUGGAUUCGCGGGUUAUGAUUUUGUUGGUGGGGUUGUGGCUUACGAAGGCUUUGACGGGUUGCCGGCCUGGCAGGGUGAGCGGCCACAUUGGGACUGGGAUACGGCCCAGACUCGUACGGGAGGCAGCAGUGGGGAAUAUUGCACAAUGGGCGGAAGACUGAUGCAGGAACGACGCGUGAGGGAUGACGGCCCUCGGGUUGUAAACCGCUUUCGCCUGUGCCGAAGCGUGAGUGACGGUAAUGGGUAGAGAAGAACGGGCUAACUACGUG
rnacentral:rRNA from 1 species